rnacentral:rRNA from 1 species
UACGUAGGCAGCAAGCGUUGUUCGGAAUUACUGGGCGUAAAGAGUGUGUAGGCGGUGCUCUAAGUCUGUCGUGAAAUCUCCCGGCUUAACUGGGAGGGUGCGGCGGAAACUGGAGUGCUAGAGGGUGGGAGAGGAAAGCGGAAUUCCUGGUGUAGCGGUGAAAUGCGUAGAUAUCAGGAGGAACACCAGUAGCGAAGGCGGCACUCUGGGCCGUGACUGACGCUGAGGAGCGAAAGCGUGGGUAGCAAACAGG